GUUUCCGGGUCGGGUCAACCCGGCGCUUAUGAGAAACCGGAUCGAAAAGAAGGUCACAAAUCCGAUACCGGGGUUUCAUCUGGAGGGUACGCAAAGAGAUCCGACGAAGAAGGGUUCGGAGCAGAAUAUGGGGGGAAUCAGUCUCUUUCUAAGGACGAUGAGGAUAAAAUUGUCCAUGGAAAUUCCCCUGAAUAUGAGCAGAGUAAGAAGAGUUCAUGAAGAGUCGAAGG